AUUGAACGCUAGCGGGAUGCUUUACACAUGCAAGUCGAAAGGAGUGGCGGACGGGUGAGUAAUAUAUCGGAACGUGCACAGUAGCGGGGGAUAACUACUCGAACGAGUGGCUAAUACCGCAUACUAUUUGAGCGGCCGAUAUCGGAUUAGCUAGUUGGGGGGGUAAAGGCUCACCAAGGCCACGAUCCGUGGCUGUUUUGACAGGACUACCAUCCACACGGGGACUGAGACACGGCCCAGACUCCUACGGGAGGCAGCAGUGGGGAAUUUUGGACAAUGGGGGAAACCCUGAUCCAGCCACCCCGCGUGUAGGAUGAAGGCCUUCGGGUUGUAAAGUACUUUUGGCGGAGAAGAGGUAUAUGCAGAAUAAGCACCGGCUAACUACGUGCCAGCAGCCGCGGUAAUAC
rnacentral:rRNA from 1 species